rnacentral:rRNA from 1 species
GAAUUUAGCAGAGAUGCUUUAGUGCCUUCGGGAACUCUGAGACAGGUGCUGCAUGGCUGUCGUCAGCUCGUGUUGUGAAAUGUUGGGUUAAGUCCCGCAACGAGCGCAACCCUCAUCCUUUGUGCCAGCACGUAAUGGUGGGAACUCAAAGGAGACUGCCGGUGAUAAACCGGAGGAAGGUGGGGAUGACGUCAAGUCAUCAUGGCCCUUACGAGUAGGGCUACACACGUGCUACAAUGGCGCAUACAAAGAGAAGCGACCUCGCGAGAGCAAGCGGACCUCAUAAAGUGCGUCGUAGUCCGGAUUGGAGUCUGCAACUCGACUCCAUGAAGUCGGAAUCGCUAGUAAUCGUAAAUCAGAAUGUUACGGUGAAUACGUUCCCGGGCCUUGUACACACCGCCCGUCACACCAUGGGAGUGGGUUGCAAAAGAAGUAGAUAGCUUAACCUUCGGGAGGGCGUUUACCACUUUGUGAUUCAUGACUGGGGUGAAGUCGUAACAAGGUAAGCGUAGUGCU